AAAUUUUAUUUGGGUGCAUAGGAUGGCCUGGAUGGGUGUAGGAUUUCCCGGCCUGAAAUUGUGUCCCAGUCCGGCCCUGUAUUCAAGUGUGUGUGCAUUUUUACUUCUGCAUUCUGUAUGCCUGUUACUCAAGCUUACUCUUGAACUAUAACAUACUCCAAAUAUUGUCGGCUCUUUUAUGCUAAAUUGCUUGCCAUUUUCCUCUUUUGUAAGUCCCUUUGGAUAAAUCUAUCUGCCAAGUAAUGAAAUGUAAAUGUGUGGAAGCAUGUCUCCCCAUCAGGCAGCCCACUCAGGAUGCUCCAGAGGAGGUGAGAGCUUGUGAUUUCAGAUGCGAGCUGGAAGAGAGGGAGAGAGUUACUGUUAAGAGCAGAGACAGAGGAGCAAGAGUGGCCACGUCUUGAUCAGAUUCCUGCUGCCAACCUGGAUGCUGAUGACCCCCUCACUGAUGUAUUCACACUCUUUAUGCAGUCACACACACUAUGUAUUUAUACAUGUGGAAGGAUUUUGGCUGCAGUCUGAAUGUGUGUGUUUGUGUUUCAGGAUGAAGAUGACUCUGACUCAGGUUCUGACAGUGAUGAUGACACCGCCGCUCUGCUGGCUGAACUGGAAAAGAUCAAGAAGGAGCGAACCGAGGAGCAUGAGAGGAAGGUGAACUUCACUCCCAAAUCAGAGCACUCAUAGCCCUGAAAUCAGCUUGAUCAAAUUGGAACUCUUGAGUCAUCACAGUGUGUGUGGGAGUUAGGAGCGGGAACAGAAAGGAGAGGAGAGGAAAUUAUUUGUAAUAAUUUAGUAAAAACGUGGGAUGAUGAUGUUGUGUUUAAGAACUGCGCUAAAGGAGUGGAUGAAUCUCGUAAAGAGAAACGCUUCAUUAAUUCCACAAAAAAUUAAUGGAGAAAUAUGUUAAAUAAUAUG